UACAAACGGGAUGAGGAGCUAUGGGAGAGCUUCAAGAUGAUUCGAUGGGUGAUCUUGCUGUGGCUAAGGUCCUUCCUGAGGGAGCGAGUCGUCAGAGAUAGCCUUGGAGAUGAUUCUGAUGUGACUUAGCCUACCAACGAAGUAGAUCACUAAGUUAGUCCUUGAUGAGAUCAUGGAAGAUGAUCUCAUAGGAGAUGAUCAACUAAGAUGACCAUAGGAGAUGAUCAAGUGAGAUGAUCCAGACGAGGCUUGGCCCUUUUGGUGUAUUAUUUAUUAUGUUAAAUAUAGAGAAAAAUAAAGAGAUAUGCAAAAGAAUUGUAUAAUAAUUAUUGUUUAUUUAGUUUCCAUUUUCCAAGAGAUAGCUUUGGAAAGUAAAAAAAAAGAAGGUUUGAAUGUAAUUCUUUAACUUUUUUAAAAAGUAUUUAUUAUAUAUGGUUAAAUCGAUGUAGAACGUACUGAAUAAGCGGACAAGAAAUUAGUGGUUUAAUCGAUUCAAUCAAUAGUUUGAUCUUGAAAACCAUGCCCGACAUAGCAAAUCAACUAACUUGUCCUCUAGAAAUGAUCUCAACAUGGCUAGGCUUCCCUUGGGGUAGCAAAUCUGCUAAGCUAGCCUAUGGAGAUUAUCUCAACGUGACUAGACUUUUCCCAGCAUAGAGGAUCAACUAACUUGGCUUCUAAAGAUGAUGUCAACGUGGGCUUCUCCCAGCGUAGCGGAUCGACUAAGUUAGCCUCUCGGGAGAUGAUCAGGUUGAUCUCGGACUAUGGAGACUUACAAGGACGUCUGUAGAGAAAGGGAUAAUGUUAGCGGGCACCAGAGGAC
rnacentral:lncRNA from 1 species